rnacentral:misc_RNA from 1 species
GAUGAAGAACGUAGCGAAAUGCGAUAACUAAUGUGAAUCGCAGAAUUCCGUGAAUCAUCGAGUCUUUGAACGCACAUUGCGCCCCCUGGUAUUCCGGGGGGCAUGCCUGUCCGAGCGUCAUUACAACCCUCAAGCCCGGCUUGUGUAAUGGGCGGCCGUCUCUCCCCCCGGGGGGAGACGCCCCCGAAACUCAGUGGGGAUGUCGCGAUACCGAAGCCUCAGCUAAUGGGUAAACCACAGCUGCAAUGGCCGCGGCCGGCGUCCGCCUUCCACGGUCCGUCCGCCUAGCGCGGGCGGCCUUCUCAAGGUUGACCUCGGAUCAGGUAGGGAUACCCGCUGAACUUAAGCAUAUCAAUAAGCGGAGGA